ensembl:processed_transcript AA465934 expressed sequence AA465934
AGUGUGCCCCGGACGCAGUGUCCUAGCGCUCGAUCGGGUCAUCCUCUGCAGCCCAGAUUGUCCCUGUCCAAGACUGCGGAAUGAAGAAUCCAGCUUUGAGAACCUGUGUGUAAGUCCUCUCUGGUCAGCAAAGGAAUCUGUGCAGAGCGCCAUGAAUUAGAGGAUGGGGGAAUGAGUGCUUGAAGAUGCCCGAGGUCCAGGUGAGAAAUCAGGGUUGAAAACUGCAUGGAGGAUUCAUCAUUUCUGCCCUGAAUUGGAAUCAAUUCCUUAUUGACUUAUUAUUACUGUAUUAAAAGUGUUUUUAAUUAA